ACCCGACGUAUGUGAUCCAUGCAAACCGGCUACUCUCGCAUCAAAUCUGCUGCAAGAUCUCCCGAUGCUGUGCGCCUCCUCCCCCUCCUCACCUGAUUCGUUUUCGCCAUCAAAGAUCUUCGAGGGGGAUGCCGUUGACUCCAAACUCCUUUGGUGGUAGUUGUGGGGUCGGCCGGAGAGGCGACGGCUGUGGGGAGCAGCGGCGCAUUGGCUGCAGGGCAACGACGGACGAGCAGCGGCGCGAAGCAGGUGCUGGUGGUGAUUCUGGUCGGAAGGAGGCAGCAGGGUGAGGUGGUGCGGCAGAGCUCGUCCGCGAGUGUGGCGCGCAGAGUAGCCGGUGGUGGUUGCCGUGGUGCAGUGCGGACGGCUGCAAGGGGAACCGAUGGCAGCGCACAUGGCCAUGGGGGUAUGGUGAGCGGGUUGGGGCGCAGUGGGAGAAGAGCGCCAGGGUCCAGGCCGUCUUCCUUCGCAGAGAUGAAUUGAAGGGUCGACGCCACCAACAUGCGCUCGAGGCGAGUGUAUCCUGACCAUGUUGUCCGACCGCACCUACACGUCGGAGGUCUUGGAGAAGAUUGGCCUCCUGCAGCGGUUUGUGACCCAAGAUCCUCAACAAUGACACUUCAUUCAUGGCUGUGAUGCCAAACUUUGCCCAGCACCAGGCCCACCCAAAGGGGCACACGCGAGCCCUCCCCAUGGCGGUCAAGGAUCAGGUAGCAGUAUAGCAUCGGGUUGCAACAUUUGACAAGGACGGCAUCCGGAAGCGGCUAUGCAUGCUCACGUGCAGUAGGUAUGAAUCAGGUCCUUAUUCCCCAUCCAUACAUCAUGUUUCAUAUGGAGCUAAGAGAUGUUUUCUGCCUUUUAUUUUUUGUAUAAACAAAAUCCUUGUUGUUUUGGCUGCUGGCCUUUGUUAAUACUUGCUUACUUCUGAAUCCUGAUAUAUGAAUUUGAGGUGAUGGUUUUCCAUAUUACAUAUUGAUUCCAAAACAAUGUUAAUCCAUGAUGUCAGCUGUUAAUCUUCCCUUUGUCAUGUUCUCUUUUAACUUUUGUUAUUCAUUUGAGCGAUUUUUUUGGAUUAAUCCAGUUACAACUGUCAAUCUAUCCCCACAUAAGCAUAGAAACACAACGAGAAGGUAAUCAACAAAACCCCAUAUGUGUAAGCUUCUUGAAUUGAAAAUUUGCAAGUCAAGUUUUCUAAUUUGACUUCACUGCAGAGGAUUUGGCAAAGAAGACCUACAACUGUAGCGAUGAAUGACUGCAAAGUAAGUUAAUGUUCAUUAAAUCCCGUCUUCUAGACAUUGAGUUGAGAGAUGCAAUAGUCAAUAACAUGUUUAUAGGCUUGUUUGUAGCAGAAUAUGCAUAGAAUUGUAACAAUUUUCUCUUGGAGAAAGUCGUAGCUAUGGUGCUUGGCACAUAAUCUUGUUUUAUGUGAGCUUUAUAGUUUUGGGAUUCACCGGGUGGCUUCUAUGAAACAUCAUCUUUUGUCGAGGUAUGCAGUGUUUCACAUGUGUAAAUGUUGCCGCAGUUUCUUAAGAGUUAGGAUAUAUAUAGACUUUCCUCAGAUAUAUACAGACGAGUUACGUCUGUACCUGUCGUGCAUAAUGGUGCUACAACCCGACACUGUUGUUAUUUCAUAUUAGUUAGUAUAGUAUGAACUGUACACAUAUUUGUUUCCUUGGAACCAAGUAGGAACCUGGAGUUUUAUUGCUUGGAAUGUGUAACCUACUCUGAAGUCAGAACAUGUAAUUCAAUCACACAUGUUUGGAGCAAAGCAUUUUUUCAUGUCUACACACUUACUUUUGUUAUGUUUUGAGAUUUUUGUUCUAUCCAGUUGACCUCAAAUUAAGAUUUUAGUUAGAUUAUUCUUUUCUACGAUCAUACGUGCGUGCACGUGCAUACUUACUAGUUUAGUCAAAUGAAUGGUUGUAGUGUUGGCUUCAGAUGGUCUGCGGUGGCGGCUCUCGCGGCGAUGUGGGCUCUUGGCGGUGGUGCAUCAAAUUCGCAGUGUGGGGCAGGACUGGGCGUGACGACGGUUGGUCACGGUUCCAGUAUCAGCUCGUCUGCGGGUGGCUUGUGGUGCUGCUCCUCGAGGCUCUCUUGGUCGGUUGGUUGCGGUCGGUCCGGCGCCCCUCGUCGAUGGGCGGGCGGCUGGGUUUGGCCUCUCGCGGAUCUGGGCUGGGAGCGCCGUAGUGGGGCAUCCCGGGGUGGUGUGUGGGGAGGCCUGUGGGAGGGUGGCGCUGAGUUAGCCGGGCCACCCGUUGCCGACGCACUGUGGACAUGGUCCGCUCCUUCUCCUCCCCUUCCCCAUCCUAGUGGCUCUUGGUGCUAGAUUGACUUUGGUCUAGGCAGACAUUGUCGGCUCCGUCGGUGGUUGGGUAUUGCCGGUCGGUCCAAGGCCCGGGCUCUUGGAUGGGAUCCAGGGUGCCUGGUGGCAGGACGACGGCCAUGUGGGAGCCGCGGUGCUGGUGGGCGGAGCUCGCUGCUCCGAUGCUGGUCGGUUGCCAUGGUCAUGUGGGCGGUGUGGUGACUGGUGAUCGGCGUUCUAUAUCGGUGGUGUGGCAGGUGUCAUGUUGCUUGCCGCACCCUGGUCAGAUGAGGAGUGCGCUUGCCGGGUGAAAACCUUGUCUGGCUCUGGCCAGGCUGACGAUGGCGGUGUCCUUGGGCGGCGCCCCCUUCUUCAAGGCUUCGUCGUGAUUGCUUUGUCCUUCAUGUUGCUCUAGGUGAAAAUCUUGAUCCUUUGGAUCGGGCGGUGACGACGCUCUGAUGUUGUGCCAUUCCUGAAGGCAUUAUCUUGGAGCUCAUUGUACGUCGGCACUUAGAUUUGUCUCUUUGUCGUGCUUGUUACCGGUUGAGACCUCCGUUGUCUCCAGUCAUGCUUAUUGUCCAUAUUUUGUUUCACUUGGAGAUGUAUGGGGUGGUGUUGCUGAGUCUCAACACCUAUAUAUCUUGUCUUGGGUGUGU